GACGAACGCUGGCGGCGUGCUUAACACAUGCAAGUCGAACGCUGAAGCUUGGUGCUUGCACUGGGUGGAUGAGUGGCGAACGGGUGAGUAAUACGUGAGUAACCUGCCCUUGACUCUGGGAUAAGCCUGGGAAACCGGGUCUAAUACUGGAUACGACAUGUCACCGCAUGGUGGUGUGUGGAAAGGGUUUUACUGGUUUUGGAUGGGCUCACGGCCUAUCAGCUUGUUGGUGGGGUAAUGGCUCACCAAGGCGACGACGGGUAGCCGGCCUGAGAGGGUGACCGGCCACACUGGGACUGAGACACGGCCCAGACUCCUACGGGAGGCAGCAGUGGGGAAUAUUGCACAAUGGGCGGAAGCCUGAUGCAGCGACGCCGCGUGAGGGAUGACGGCCUUCGGGUUGUAAACCUCUUUCAGCACGGAAGAAGCGAAAGUGACGGUACGUGCAGAAGAAGCGCCGGCUAACUACGUG
rnacentral:rRNA from 1 species